CUUCCUUAUCACGAAGAAUGGCACUUGAGUUGUGCAUAAAACGGUUGAAAAGAACAUAGCGCUUAUACUCAUAGUCAACAUUGAUUUCGAAGCUAUUGUUUGAAACUGAAUUAUAACGAUGAUGCGUUACCUCAUGUGCAUGUUAGUCGUUACGUCGCUGCUAAGUCAAGUGGCCGACGGGAAUGCAGCCAGGCUAUGUGGGAGGCGACGUUGUCCACCGGGUUUCCGGUGUGUUCGCUAUGGCAACGUAGGCAGGUGUGAUGGUGGGAAACAGUUCAUGCACCCGGGAAAUACGGGAAAUGCGGACGGUUCUGGAAAUUAAUUAACGGUGUGCGUUUCAAAUAAAUGGAGUUUCCAUCGGAUGACCCUUACAUCGGUUAUGAUAACUAUAAAACUGUGUCUGGACAUUUAAGAAAUAUGUUGUUAUUACGCAUAUGUUUAUUUUAGAUGUUGUGUGUUAACAGUUUUCAAUUGGAAGAAAUGUAGACAUUAUAGAGAAUGAGAGCUGAUUUAUUGUGUAGACUAUUGCCUUGACCUUUUUAUUAUAUAUUUA